CCCCCGGGGCCUUAACCCUGGAGAAAUGGCCUUCAAGGACUGCGGAGGCCUAGAGUCGCGACAGAAGGAAGGUGAAUCUCCCGUGUUAGCCAGUGAAUGCGUAAGAGAUGUGGAAGGAACCCCGAUGGCGAAAGGCAGCCUCCUGGGCCAGCACCUGACCGCUCAUGCACGAAGACGUGAGGAGCAAACAGGAUGUAGAUUCCCCUGGUAGUUCCACGGCACUUAACGAUGUCAACUAGGGUGUGGGGGAAGGGUGACUUCCUUAGUACCGCACGCUAACGCGUGAAGUUGACCCGCCUGGGGAGUACGGCACGCAAGGUUAAAAACUCAAAGGAAUUGACGGGGACCCGCACAAGCGGUGGAUGAUGUGGAUUAAUUCGAUGCAACGCGAAAAACCUUACCUACCCUUGACAUGCUUGGAACCCUGCUGAGAGGUGGGGGUGCCCGAAAGGGAGCCGGGACACAGGUGCUGCAUGGCUGUCGUCAGCUCGUGUCGUGAGAUGUUGGGUUAAGUCCCGCAACGAGCGCAACCCUUGUCGUUAAUUGCCACCAUUUAGUUGGGCACUUUAACGAGACUGCCGGUGACAAACCGGAGGAAGGUGGGGAUGACGUCAAGUCCUCAUGGCCCUUAUGGGUAGGGCUUCACACGUCAUACAAUGGCGCAUACAGAGGGUUGCGAAGCCGCGAGGUGAAGCCAAUCCCAGAAAGUGCGUCGUAGUCCGGAUUGCAGUCUGCAACUCGACUGCAUGAAGUCGGAAUCGCUAGUACUCUUAUGUCCCCAUGUCGCGGUGAAUACGUUCCCGGGUCCUGCUUAAUCGCCCCCGUC
rnacentral:rRNA from 1 species